rnacentral:lncRNA from 1 species
CAGGUACCAGAUAUGGUGGUUGGCGAUCACAUUGAUAGAGAAUAUGACUAUCAGCCUGGGAAGAAGAAAGAGAAGAUUUUUACAUACCUGUGCUCAAAACAGGGAUGCAAGAAAAAAGAGAUGCUGCAGAUGGCAUGUGCCUAGUGUCACAGCAACUGCUGUAUUCAGCACAGACAGCCCCUGGACCACAGCUGCAGACAUGGGAGCUGCCCCACCAUCAAAGCUGGG